AACGCACACAAACCCAAAGGCCGUUAUUCGCCCGUAUGGCGGUCUUGCCGUGUGUGCGCAGAUUGAACGGGAUCUUGUCGCCUUUCAUACGCUGUUGUGCUGAUGGAAGUGAAAUCAAGGUUCUACAGUC
ensembl:snoRNA small nucleolar RNA SNORA68